UUACAUUUUUACAUACAUAAUUAAGAGGUACGAGUUAUUACAAGACUUAAGUUGAGACAAACUUAGUGAUGCAGAGUUAGACAAGCUCUAAGAUUAAACAUAAACAGUUUAGGAGAAGAUGCGUCGAUAAACGGUUUUCUAGAGUAUUGAGAGACUCAGGUCAAUACUCUAGGUCUUCGGGGUCUCCUCCUCGGUAGCUU
rnacentral:lncRNA from 1 species